UGGAAAAAGAGGCAAUGAAUUUGAAGGAGAGCAAGGAGGAAUAUGUGGGAGGACUUGGAGAGAAGAAGAAGGGAGAAAUGAUGUAAUUAUAUUACAAAAAGAAAAGAAAUAUUUUUUUAAAAAGUAAAGAAAUAAAAGAACCCUAGCCCAAGUACCAAUUUAGAUGGACUCUGAAACAUGCUGUUCAAUCAUUAUGCGAAUAGGAGUCAAGUUCAAAAGACUCUGUGUUACAGGACUCAGUGUAUGAAAUGUGCAAAAGUGGAAAACUAAAGUUGAUUUUGAUCAUGGCUUCCACUUGACAAAAACUUCUAUUUUGCAUUUUAAAAUCCUUAAGUCCUUGAAGUUAUCUCUGAAGCACCAUGACUGUAGGCCGACCUGUUCUAGAUAAUUCUGUCUUAAGACUUUAUCUCCUGCUGAUUCUAGCUUGUGUCAAGUGGAUAAGUUAAAACUAACUAGCACAGUCAGGGUCCUGUAGGAGGCUCACUUACCUUAACAGCAUAUCUUUGGGGUAAUUGUCUUGGUGGUUACAUGAUUUAGGAAGCCCCAGCCCAUUAUGGGCAGUACCAUUGCCCAGGUAGUGGAUCCUAAAUUGUGUAAGAGAGGUGAAAGGUAGCCACUGAAGGUAAGCAAGCAACGACACAUAUAUUCUUUCUUCUCCACUGGGGCUGUGAUGUCACUAGCUUCUUGAGUCCCUGCAUUUGGUUCCCUCAAAUGAUAGACUGGUAUUUGGAAUUAUGACUUUCCUUUCCCCAAAAAAUAAUAAUGAUGGCUAUCUUGUUCCUUCCUAGAUUUGCUUCUUAAUCUGUUUUCUGUCUUGAAGAAAGAAAUCCAGAUGCUAAGAAGGAGCUUGAGUCAUACUGUAGAGAUAAAACGUCCCAUGGCUCACACUUUCUCCUCCUACACAUUGAGUGAUUUUUUUUCCCUGAACCCAUUGGGAACAACCUCCAUUUUUAAGUUGACAUUUGGGGAAUUGUUGUGUGUCUGAUGAGACCUGGUGGUAGGCAGGGUGGUGGGAGGCGGUCAUUUGUUUUAAACAUAAGCCGUUUGUGAUGCCUGAUUUGUCAGUUGCUAGAAGGCUCUUGGCAGUCUUGCUGCACAUGGAGAGUCAGGCUGUUCUAAAGUGUGUAGCUCAAAAUGGGGAGGCAAGAAGCUGGUUCUGUUCAUCAAAAUUAUCUCACAUUGCACAUGGAUUUUUUUUUUUUUUUGGAAUUCACAAUAAUGCUGUCUUGGCCUAGUUCAGAUUGGUGUCCUGGGGAGGAAUGUCAGCAUGCUGCUGGCCACAACAAUGACAUACCCUCCCUCACAUAGCAUAGUCUGGAGAUAAGUAGUAACGCAGGCAUUGAUGGUAUGAUCUCUGGAGAGCUCAUCAACCCAAAAGCUCAGCAGAGUGCCUGGUCCAGGGUGCAAAGGCUUUUGCUGUGUUUCUAGGCUGCAUGCCCGUCAUUACUAAUGGUAUAAGCAGGUAGACUUGAAAACAGGCCCCCAGGAAUCAUGGAUAUUAUGCUCUGUUGAUAUGGUGAAAAUGAUUGCAGACUCAGUGGCUUUACACAGCAGGGAUUUCCUCUAUCACACCGCCAUGCUCACAUCUCCCAAACUAGUGCCACGGUUGAUACAUCUUCAGGUCUCAGCCCUGGAGCUUCUAGAGCAGUGGUUCUCAACCUCCCUAGUGCUGUGUCCCUUAAUGUGUUUCCUCAUGUUGUAGUGACCAGCCCUCCC
rnacentral:lncRNA from 1 species